ensembl:snRNA Gm22575 U6 spliceosomal RNA
AUGCUCACUUAGGCAACACAUAUAAUAAAAUUGAAAUAAUACAGAGAAGAUUAGCAUGGUCCUUGCUCAAGGAUGAAACACAAAUUACUGAAGUGUUACAUAUUUUU